rnacentral:sRNA from 1 species
UGCUGUGGGUCACCUAUCGAUCAUUCUCUUAUUUAGGAGGGAUGGAGUCGAUUAGAAAACCGAUGGAAAAUUGGGAUUUAAAGAAGAAAACAGGAAGUCUGUUUAAAGAGCCCAUUUCUUUUUUAUGAAAAUAAAGUUUACCAUUUCCAGCCCUGUUUUAUCCAGCAAGGUGGGGAGCGGCAGGCGUUGCCCUGAAUCGCCAAUGACACUGAGGAGAGUGUGAUGUGCGCCUGACCGUGUGCCCUCAUGCAGCGCCUCCCAUCCCCACCGUCCUUGUGCCCUGCCAGAGUUUUCUUUGUACAGCAUAGAUGACAGCCGAAGCCCCUGGCCCGAGAGCUCUGCGAUGGGCUCAGCGCUCCUGCAGCAGCCCAGGCCUUUCAGAAUCCCGCUGCCCGCCCAAGCCCUGUGCCCUGCCUGCCUGUCCUGGGUAUCCCGUUGACAAAGGGCAGACUGUGAAGGGCACAAGAUGGCUCCAGACCAGGGGAUGCACCCAGCUCCAGCUCUCCCCUCCUUACUCUCAUCCUGCUCGCCCCCUCUUUUCUCUCCUGGUCUCCCCUUAUUGCCUCUGCCCGGGCACCACAGGGCUUAAUGGUAUCUUCUACACACAUUGUUUUCACUAAGGUAUUUGGGGCUGGCACUUCAGAUCAUAAAUUUCUUACCCUCUGUUACAGUCCUGUAGUUUUCCUGCUAAAAACAUUCAGCACGCUCCUCCUUUCUGCAGCCGGUAGCCCAGGUACCUUCGUGCAGGGUGGAGGAAGCCUUGAGCAACCUGCUCUGUGAUGAGCAACCUAUUCUCCUAACAGCCCGAGCCUUCCACCGCCCCGAGGCCUUGAAGCACCGUGGGGACAGCCUUCCUGCCUUUGCCUGGGCCCUCGCUGCUUCUGUCUGGAACUUCUCCUCCCAGUCCACAAGAGAUAGCUUGAAUCUUGUCCUGAAGACAGGGCUACAAUGUUGUUUCUUUUUUACAUCUUUCCCUGAAUAGUCUUUCCUGAAUGUAUGGCUUCUUUGUCUCUGUGUCUUGUCACCUUACGUUGUAUCCAAGACGUUCGGCAAACACAUCUUUGUUGAUUACUUAUUCAAUCCAAGGCACUGUCCGGAAGAUGGGACAGAGAGGAGGAAGGCUGAAUCUGGCCCCUCGAAGCCCACUGCCCAGUUCUGCAAUAUAGACUCCCCUCUCAGCCCCUGAGAGGCCAGGACCCCGUGUCUGCGUGUGCCUAGCACCCUGCAGAGCGCCCUGCAUGCUGCCAGGACACGGCGACUCACGUGGCCGCACAGGCUGCCUGCCCAGGUUCAGCGCCUGAAACGUCGAUGUUCGAUAAAUAUUUGUUGCAUUAAACUUUUACAGCUGUGUUUAUUGAUGACAUUUUUUAAAAUUUAAUAUGCAAGGCUUUCGUUCUUUUUGCUGAAUAAACAAAUAUACCAUAUAUAAUAUUUGGUCAUUAAAAAAAGAUUUUCCUUUGGGUUAGGAGAUCCUGCUGCUGGCUGUUUGCUGAACUUUACUUAGCACCUGUGACCAAAUGCAUUGUCACAAAAGAAAUGAUGGUGGUGGGGGGGAGGUAUCCAGCCUCCUUCCCUGGGCACUGGAGAGGCACACACCCCUGCAAAGAGUUGUAUUGGACAGCUCACCCAGAGCUGUGGGGAAAUGCAUGCCCAGCAUUAACUGUGUGUGCCCUCGAGCCUAGAGCCUGCCUGCAGAUGCCCACGGAGGCCUCUGGCCCUGUUGAAGCUUGCACUGUAGAGAGCUCUUCAGGGUUUGGAAUAGGGGGUCAUGGUGUCUCUGCUGAGGGCUGACUGCUUCUGCGGAAGAAGUGUCUUACUUGUAAGCCUACGAGUACUUUUUCCAGGCUCUAACUGGUCCCUGUCUCCCUUAGGCAUUGUUUCCAAGUCCUACGAGUGCCGUCUGAAGGGACAAGGAGCCACCUUCGUGGAGACAGACAGCCCCUUCACCGCGGCGGCCCUGGCAGAAGAGCCCCUCGUCAAGGAGAAGCCCCUCAGAAGCAGCAGGAGGCCAGCACCGCCCCCUGAGCAGGUGCAGCAGGUCAUCAUCUUCCAGGGCUACGACGGGGAGUUUGCUCUGGACCCCUCUGUGGAGGAGACGGCCGCCGCCACGCUGCAGACGCUGGCCAUGGCCGGCCAGGUGGCCCGGGUGGUGCACAUCACGGAGGAUGGCCAGGUCAUCGCCACGAGUCAGAGCGGGGCACAUGUAGGCAGCGUGGUGCCCGGGCCCAUCCUCCCGGAGCAGCUGGCUGAUGGAGCCACCCAGGUGGUCGUCGUGGGGGGCUCCAUGGAAGGCCACGGCAUGGAUGAGUCCCUCAGUCCAGGUGGCGCUGUGAUACAACAGGUGACCAAGCAGGAGAUUUUAAACCUCUCGGAGGCUGGAGUCGCCCCCGCCGAGGCAUCCUCAGCCCUGGAUGCGUUGCUCUGUGCAGUCACUGAAUUGGGGGAGGUGGAGGGCAGGGCUGGGCUCGAGGAGCAAAGCAGGCCUGGCGCCAAAGACGUGCUGAUCCAGCUGCCCGGGCAGGAGGUCUCCCAUGUGGCUGCCGACCCCGAGGCCCCCGAGAUCCAGAUGUUCCCACAGGCCCAGGAGAGCCCGGCCGCCGUGGAGGUGCUCACCCAGGUGGUCCAUCCCUCAGCAGCCAUGGCCUCUCAGGAGCGGGCACAGGUGGCCUUCAAGAAGAUGGUCCAGGGCGUCCUCCAGUUUGCUGUGUGUGACACGGCCGCGGCCGGCCAGUUGGUCAAGGACGGUGUCACCCAGGUGGUGGUGAGCGAGGAGGGUGCCGUCCACAUGGUGGCCGGAGAGGGUGCCCAGAUCAUCAUGCAGGAGGCGCAGGGCGAGCACAUGGAUCUGGUGGAGUCCGACGGGGAGAUCUCGCAGAUCAUCGUGACGGAGGAGCUGGUCCAGGCCAUGGUGCAGGAGUCCGGUGGCGGCUUCUCCGAGGGCGCCACGCACUACAUCGUGACAGAGCUGCCCCCAGGGGUGCAGGAUGAGCCGGGCCUGUACUCACACACUGUGCUGGAGACUGCGGACUCGCAGGAACUGCUGCAGGCCGGGGCCACGCUAGGCACAGAGGCCGGGGCCCCAAGCAGGGCAGAGCCGCUGGCCAGCGUGGUCAUCUACACCCAGGAGGGCUCCCCAGCUGCGGCAGCAAUUCAGAGCCAAAGAGAAAGCAGCGAACCCCAGGAAGCAUGAGACGUGCGGCACCUUUACUCAGCACAGGGCAGGUGUGGGAAGGUCCAGCUUCGGUGGGGGGCUGUGUUCCCUGAGCCUCAUCUGAAACCUUCAAAACCAUGAGGACAAGGCUCCCGUGAGCUCUGAGCAUGCACUCCAGCGAGAGUCACACUGGCCACCAGCCAGGCGGCCACAGAGGGUACCGUGGGCUGGGCCUCGGGGAGCAGGCUGCCAAGUGCACGGGAGGGCCGGGCGCAGGCCGCACAGGGAGCUCCGGUCCACUGGGGGCCCUUCAAUCAAUGGCCUCCCCCUUUGUCCUGGCCGUUGUGCUGAAGAGAAGCCAAGUGUUGUUGGUAGUUUUUUUCUCUCACAAGUGUUUUCCCAUUUCAGUUAUCAGAAGGUCAUGGCGGUGGGGAAAGUGGUGAAGAUACCCCUCGUGGCUUGGGGUGCACCUGCUUGUGCAGUCAGCGUGUAGCUGCCUUUCCAUUUCAUUCUCUACUGGGCUAAAAAUUGCAGCUACAAGUGUUACCAUCUUGAAGCAGUCCACUUCCAUUCAUUUUUGUUUUUUAAUUUUAGAAUAACAGUGUCCCCAUACCAAAGGAAACCUGCUAGCUCAUUUCAUAUAUAAAUUUCCCAUCUUCAAACAGUUUAGGUGUAUUCGUUGCUCUGGUCACAUUCUGCAUAAAAGAAAUCCUCUUAAGCCUAUGGUUAAGAAAAGCCUUGAAGUUUAUAUUCAGUUAAAAUAUAUGUCGGUGGAGAUAGCCAGUGCUUCUAAUUUUGACUUAGUUUCAUACAAUAAAGCCUAUAUGUGAAAUGCACACUCUGGAAGAUACUGUUCCUAUCAAUAUUUUGCUUUUUAUAACAAGGGUUUGUUCAUAUUGAUAUCAUUUUUGCAGGAUUUCUUCGUGAUUUCUGUCCAUUUGAAAAUGCUGACAUUAAACAUUAACACAUGGAGACCAUGCCCUGUGGCCCUGCCGUGGCCGCCAGCAUGGUCUGUGUUUCCUUGUGGAUUCACCUGUGGCCCUGCCGUGGCCACCAGCAUGGUCUGCGUCCUCGUGGAUUCACUGCAACUGUCGGAUGCGAGUUUCUGUCGUAAUCAUUUGUUUCCUGAUACAAUUGCUCUUAUUCUUUUCCAAAACUGUAAAAUAAUCUCCUCCCUCAAAUGCAAAGGUUGUUUUUGUUCUGUUUCUGUUUUCUUUGAAAUAAAAUUAUAGCAUUAAAAGAU